UAAUACGGAGGGUGCGAGCGUUGUCCGGAAUCACUGGGCGUAAAGGGCGCGUAGGUGGCGCGGUCAGCGUGCGGUGAAAGCUCGGGGCUCAACCCCGAGUCGGCCGUGCGUACUGCCGCGCUGGAGCAUCGUAGAGGCAGGUGGAAUUCCGGGUGUAGCGGUGGAAUGCGUAGAGAUCCGGAAGAACACCGGUGGCGAAGGCGGCCUGCUGGGCGAUGGCUGACACUGAGGCGCGACAGCGUGGGGAGCAAACAGGAUUAGAUACCCUGGUAGUCCACGCCGUAAACGAUGGGCACUAGGUGCCUGGGGGAGCGACCCCCCGGGUGCCGGCGCUAACGCAUUAAGUGCCCCGCCUGGGGAGUACGGCCGCAAGGCUG
rnacentral:rRNA from 1 species